rnacentral:lncRNA from 1 species
AUGGGGUUUUUGCCGGUGGCAGGACUUCUCGUUCUGCUGUUCGCACUAUCUGAAGCCCAAUACAACCAAGGGUUCUACUCGGUGAUCGCGCCAAAAGUUCUUCGGCCGAACACGGAAUACCAUGUGGCGGUAUCUGUGGAGGACGCCUCUCAACCGACGUCGGUCAUCGUCCAAGUUGGCGGGAAGCAGGACAGCGGCGGCACUUUCCGCACCUCCGAGUACGUCACCCUCGCGCCCUACGCCUCCCAGAUCGUCAAACUAGAGGUCAGAGCAACUCCUCUAAUUAUUCCCAUCUUCAAUAUUCUACCAAGAUAUGGAUCGCAUUUAUCAAAAAGGAAUCAGCAAGAUCACAGUGUUUUAAAAAUGUUUCUUCUUCAUAAUGGAGAUGUUGCAUGUGUGAGGAAUUUGCGAUUUGACUAUUGAUUCUUAUGCAAAAUUUUGCGAAAAACACGAUGGUGCCACUGGUUUCCUCUGAAAUCAACUCCCAAGCUCAAAAAAGCUCUCAAGUUGAGGCCAAAAUGGAGGGAAAUUUCCCACCCUACCUGAGAGUCCACGUCUACAUCGAGACGAACUCUCCAUGUAAAGAUAGGGAGCAAAUACAUUAGCAGGGUUGCCGUGUUUUCAGUUUUAGAGUCCCCAAAGAAAGUGGCAACCCUGCUAAUGUGUUUGCUCCCUAUCUUUGCAUGGAGAGUUUGCCUUGAUGUAGAAGUGGACUCUGAGGAUAGCGUGGGAUAUCCCCGGUCAUUUUGGCCUCAACUUGAGAGCUUUUUUUGAGCUUAGGAGUUGAUUUCAGAGAAAACCACUGGCACCAUCGUGUUCCUCGCGAACUUUUACAUUAGAAUCAAUUGUCAAAUCUCAAAUUCCUCACACAUGCGCAACAUCUCCAUUAUUCCCAUGUCCAAUAUUCUCAAUUUUCAAGGAAAACGACUGUGUAAAUUUUAAUACUGUGCAUAAAAUGAGUAUUUUUAAAAGAAAAUUUUGGAAACACUGUAAUUGCGCUGGUUCCUUUUUGCUAAUGCGAUCCAUAUUGUAAAAGGUCACUCGCAACUACUCGUCGAUUGCCGCCGACUUCUUUGGGAAAA